UACGUAGGGGCUAGCGUUGUCCGGAUUUAUUGGGCGUAAAGAGCGUGUAGGCGGCCAUGUAGGUCCGGUGUGAAAACUCGAGGCUUAACCUCGAGAUGUCAUCGGAAACCAUUUGGCUAGAGUCCGGAAGAGGAGAGUGGAAUUCCUGGUGUAGCGGUGAAAUGCGCAGAUAUCAGGAAGAACACCAAUGGCGAAAGCAGCUCUCUGGGACGGUACUGACGCUGAGACGCGAAAGCGUGGGGGAGCGAAACAGG
rnacentral:rRNA from 1 species